GCUAUUUGCUCUUCUUUAUUUGUUUUCUCCUCCGGGGAAGAAGGCGGAAAACGGAGAGAAAGGGAAAGGGAAAGAAGCGGCGCCGGCCGCGACGCUCGGUGCCCGCCGGCUGCGCAGGAGCGAGGCGGGAGGCGAGAAGAGCCAGCGUCACUUUUUCCUGGUGGUCUGAGCUAAAGAGAAAAACCCGGUCGCAUUACCCAAGCUUCCAAAGUGGGAGGAGUGUGAAAUGUACGCACUUCUCCAGGAUGGAGAGAGGACGCUUCUUUAUUCCGGGGAACUCAACUCAUUUGCCUAGGAACCUCCAUUCCCACUUGAUGUUGCCCAUGAAAGCAUGGAGCCUGAUGUGGGGCUCAGUCUCAUGACCCUGAGAUCACCACCCCAAGAUCUCGACCUGAGCCAAACCCGAGAUUGCUCCACCAACUGUGCCACCGAGGUGCCACCUUGUUAGAUUAUUUUUGUAAUUUAAAGAACAAGGGGGCCAAGAGAAAUGAUGUAUACAGAUAGUUCCGAAAAAAUAAUCCAUACAUAAAGCAAAUGUAGCCAAAUGUUAAAAACUGGUGAAUUAGGGUGACGGAUACAUGGGAGUUCUAACAACUCACCUGUAAAUUUAGAAAUUAUUUCAAAAUACAAAGUUUUUAAAGAA